AACGAACGCUGGCGGCAUGCUUUACACAUGCAAGUCGAACGGUAACAGGCCUUCGGGCGCUGACGAGUGGCGAACGGGUGAGUAAUGCAUCGGAACGUGCCCAGUCGUGGGGGAUAACGCAGCGAAAGCUGUGCUAAUACCGCAUACGAUCUGCGGAUGAAAGCGGGGGACCUUCGGGCCUCGCGCGAUUGGAGCGGCCGAUGUCAGAUUAGGUAGUUGGUGGGGUAAAGGCUCACCAAGCCAACGAUCUGUAGCUGGUCUGAGAGGACGAACAGCCACACUGAGGAUGAGACACGGCCCAGACUCCGACGGGAGGCAGCAGUGGGGAAUUUUGGACAAUGGGCGCAAGCCUGAUCCAGCAAUGCCGCGUGCAGGAAGAAGGCCUUCGGGUUGUAAACUGCUUUUGUACGGAGCGAAAAGGCUCCCUCUAAUACAGGGGGCUCAUGACGGUACCGUAAGAAUAAGCACCGGCUAACUACGUGCCAGCCGCCGCAGUAAAAC
rnacentral:rRNA from 1 species